rnacentral:rRNA from 1 species
UAAAGAUUCAUCGCUGAUAGAUAGGCAUGCGUUCCAUUAGGCAGUUGGCGGGGUAACGGCCCACCAAACCGACGAUGGAUAGGGGUUCUGAGAGGAAGGUCCCCCACAUUGGUACUGAGACACGGACCAAACUCCUACGGGAGGCAGCAGUGAGGAAUAUUGGUCAAUGGGCGUAAGCCUGAACCAGCCAAGUCGCGUGAGGGAUGAAGGUUCUAUGGAUCGUAAACCUCUUUUAUAAGGGAAUAAAGUGUGGGACGUGUCCUAUUUUGUAUGUACCUUAUGAAUAAGGAUCGGCUAACUCCGUGCCAGCAGCCGCGGUAAUACGGAGGAUCCGAGCGUUAUCCGGAUUUAUUGGGUUUAAAGGGUGCGUAGGCGGCCUUUUAAGUCAGCGGUGAAAGUCUGUGGCUCAACCAUAGAAUUGCCGUUGAAACUGGGGGGCUUGAGUAUGUUUGAGGCAGGCGGAAUGCGUGGUGUAGCGGUGAAAUGCUUAGAUAUCACGCAGAACCCCGAUUGCGAAGGCAGCCUGCCAAGCCAUGACUGACGCUGAUGCACGAAAGCGUGGGGAUCAAACAGGAUUAGAUACCCUGGUAGUCCACGCGGUAAACGAUGA